UGAGGAACAUGACUUUCGGCGGGGGAUAGCCGGCCCAACGGCCGGGUAAUACCGCGUACGACCACAUGGGGACAUCCCUGAGUGGUGAAAGCAGCAAUGCGCCGAUGGAGUGCCUCGCGGCCUAUCAGCUAGUUGGUGAGGUAACGGCUCACCAAGGCAACGACGGGUAGCUGGUCUGAGAGGAUGGCCAGCCACAUUGGGACUGAGACACGGCCCAGACCUCUACGGGAGG
rnacentral:rRNA from 1 species